rnacentral:rRNA from 1 species
UAGGGAAUCUUCCACAAUGGACGAAAGUCUGAUGGAGCAACGCCGCGUGUGUGAUGAAGGGUUUCGGCUCGUAAAACACUGUUGUAAGAGAAGAAUGACAUUGAGAGUAACUGUUCAAUGUGUGACGGUAUCUUACCAGAAAGGAACGGCUAAAUACGUGUCAG